rnacentral:tRNA from 1 species
GGCCCUAUCGUCUAACGGCUAGGACGGCACUCUUUCAAGGUGCAAAUCAGAGUUCGAUUCUCUGUGGGGUCA